rnacentral:tRNA from 2 species
GGGUGGGUCGUCCAGCCUGGUAGGAUCCCUGCCUGGGGCGCAGGAGGUCGUGGGUUCAAAUCCCACCCCACCCA